rnacentral:sRNA from 1 species
GGUCAAUUGGUCGUAUAGUUACAAAGUUGACGUAACACAGUGUGCUUUUGCGGCGACCAUCCGCAAAACCGCUCCAGAAAACCUCGCUUCCCGCGGGGUUUUUU